AAUGCAGUAAAAAUCGCUUGCUAGGUCCGUCAAUCUCAGUAAAAACCUACAAUAAAAUGUCCGCUCCGAGAUUGAAAUACUAAUCUGUGUUACAAACAGGUGCUGAAAAAUGGACAUUAUCAAAAAAUAAUCAUUAAAUGUGUUUUAAAGUUACACCGGAUCGAUUAAAUCCAAAACAUGCACUGCUGGUGAACUGUGAUCAAAAUGUCAAUUUCCUACAAUGACAAAAGAAAUUACAUUGUGUACAUUCCAUCUCUAUACAUGUUGUCUGUUCAACGUCCCGACCUAAAAAGAAAUAAAAAGACUAAGUUUUCGUUAUUAUAAACCCGUGUCACGUGAUGUCUCCUCAAUCUUGCGCGCGCGCUGUAUCUAAAAUAAAAGAAAAACUUU
rnacentral:lncRNA from 1 species